GAAGCAGAGGGAGGAGUUGUUGCUGCCGCCGCCGCAGCCGCAGCUACUGUGACUUCUCCGAUUGUGUGAGCUUUGUUGGAGCCUGCGUACGUGGAUUUAUCGCUGCCACGGUCUGCGUAGCUCCAGAGGUUUAACCAUAGGAUAGAGAAACCAGACCCUUCUUCAGCAUCUUCCCUGGGCAUUGCUGUGAGUUUAGGCCGGCCCGUUUUGAGCAGGAGCAGCAGCGGAACAGUAGACCUGCUGGAGGAAGUGGGGCUGCAGAUCAGAGACACAGCAUUUUCGUCAACCAAACUUCUUGAAGCCAUAUCUACAGUAUCAGCUCAAGUGGAAGAGCUUGCCGUCAAAUGUACGGAAAAUGCACGUUUCCUUAAAACAUGACGGGACCUCUUGAAAGAAUGCUGUGAUUCUUGGAAACCUGACAAUUGAUUUGGCAUACUUAGCUCUUUGAUAGUGACUGUGUAAUAAUUCAUACUUCCUCAUAUAUGAUCAUUUCACAUGUGCCACAUAUAUAGGAUAAUAUCUAGCAGUUCUCUAUAUCUUCAGAAUGAAGUUUUUCUUGGUUUUCUUGACCUUUGUAAAAGCAGAAUACUGAUUCUAUUUUUGAUGUUGAUCAGUACUUGUUUAUUCUUACACUUUCUGCCCUUCAAACUUUCAUAAAAUCCUUUACAAAAUUUAAUUUUAUCAGUAGAUAGUUAAUAUUAAUUGUGCCACAGUGCUACCAGUAGCAAACUAAGUGGACCAUUAUUUGUUUUGCAGUAAGAUGCCAAGCAUGGCAGAAUUAGAAGUUGAGCUUCAUCUUAUGGACCAAGGGAGAUAACUUUAAGGUUCCAGCUCCAUUAGGCUGAGUUCUCUAGGCAAAUGAUUGUCUUACUUACUUCGAUAUCCCCAGCACCUAAAACAGUGUCACAUAGCAUUCACUAAAUGUUUAUUGAAAAGAAGAGUUGAUUAACAUAAUACAAAGCUAUUUUUUCUUCCUGUAUUUAGCAGGAAGACUAUAAUUGUUUCUCUAAAAAUGUAUGAAUCAGGACUUUGUUGACUUGAAGGAAAAUGUUAUCUUUUUCACAGAGAUUUUAACUUUGAUGAUAGCUUUUAAAAACAUGAUAAAUACUUUUGUCCUCAAAUGAUUAUUUUAAAAAGUCUUUUUUUUUUGAGACAGAGUCUCAUUCUGUCUCCCAGGCUGGAGUGCAGUGGUGCGAUCUUGGCUCACUGCAAUCUCUGCCUCCUGGGUUCAAGUGAUUCUCCUGCCUCAGCCUCCCUAGUAGCUGGGAUUACAGGCGUGUGCCACCAUACCCGGCUAAUUUUUUGUAUUUUUAGUAGAGACAAGGUUUCACCAUAUUGACCAGGCUGGUCUCGAACUCCUGACCUCAAGUGAUCCACCCGCCUCGGCCUCCCAAAGUGCUGGGAUUACAGGCGUGAGCCACUGCACCCAGCUAAGAAGUCUUUAUUUCAGAAAAUGAAAGACUGUCUAGAAAGAACGAAUUUUUUUUCCUAUUUAUUUCUAUGGUUACUGCUUUUACACUUAAUAUUUUUUGUUUUCGGUAUUUUUAUAUGUUUGAUUGCUGUCUUUAAAGUGCCUUAUCAGAUUUAUGGCUCUGUACUAUGAAUUUUGGAGCUUUACAAGUUAUUUACAUAACUCUAAGUUACUUUGCUUCCAAUACAUCAAAUUUAAAUAACAUGAUUGUUUUUAUAUUAUUUGACCUUAGUGACAAUGUCCUAUUUUAUUUGUUCUGUAUCUUAUGUCGCUUUUUGGUAGUUUGUAUUAUGUGUGAAUGAUUAAGCCAACUAAUUCUGUACCAUAUAUAACUUCUGGAUAUCUUUGAUAUGACAUCUUAAUUCUUUGUAGAUAUGGUGAUGUGUACAGAAUGAUAUUCUGAAGCUCCACAAUGGUGCAUUGAAAGGCUGCAGAUGGAUGGCCAAAGAAUAGUUUUGUUUAGCAUAUUAGGUCUAGUUCUGGACUUUUUUUUUUAUACUUUAAGUUCUGGGGUACAUGUGCAGAACAUGCAGUUUUGUUACAUAGGUAUACACGUGCCAUGGUGGUUUGCUGCACCCAUCAACCCAUCACCUACAUUAGGUAUUUCUCCUAAUGUUAUCCCUCGCCUAAUCCCCACCCCCCGACAGGCCCCAGUGUGUGAUGCUUCCCUCCUUAUGUCUGUGUGUUCUCAUUGUUCAAAUCCCACUUACGAGUGAGAACAUGCAGUGUUUGGUUUUCUGUUCAUGUGAUAGUUUGCUGAGAAUUAUUGUUUCCAGCUUCAUCCAUGUCCCUGCAAAGGACAUGAACUCAUCCUUUUUUAUGGCUGCGGAGUAUUCCAUGGUGUAUAUGUGCCACAUUUUCUUUAUCCAGUCUGUUAUUGAUGGACAUUUAGGUUGGUUCCAAGUCUUUGCUAUUGUGAAUAGUGCCUCAAUAAACAUACAUGUGCAUGUGUCUUUAUAGUAGAAUGAUUUAUAAUCCUUCGGGUAUAUAUCCUGUAAUGGGAUUACUGGGUCAAAUGGUAUUUCUAGUUCUAGAUCCUUGAGGAAUCAUCACACUGUCUUCCACAAUGGUUGAACUAAUUUACACUCCCGCCAACAAUGUAAAAGCACUGGACUUUUUUUUUUUUAAGUUAAAAGAUCACACACAGGGUGUGAUUUCUAUACCAAAGAUAUGCUUAUUUCAGUAUGAGGAAAAAUAUUUUUCUUACAUGUCCUGAAAAUUGCAAUUUUAAAAAUGUACAAAAUAAAUUUUUAUUAAAAGCAAAUUUUAUUUCAAAAAAAAAGAGUGAAAGACAACCAACUGGAUAGGAGAAAGUAUUUGAAAGUCAUAUAUCUGAUAAGGGAUUAAUAUCCAAGAAUAUAAAGAACUCUUACAACUCAACAACAACAACAAAAUAACCUUAUUAAAAAUUGGGUAGAGUGCUUGAAUAGACAUUUCUUCGAAGAUAUACAAAUACCCAAUAAGCACAUGAAAAGAUGCUUGACAUCAUCAGUAAUCAGAGAAAUGUGAAUCAAAACCACAAUGAGAUACCACUUCACACCUGCUAGGAUGGGUAGAAUAAAAAAGAUAAUAGGUAUCGGAGGUGGAACAAUUGGGGCCCUUAUAUACUGCUCAUGGGAGUAUAAAUGGUACAGUCACUUUGGAAAACAGUCUGGCAGAUCCUCAAACAAUUAAACAUAGAGUUAUUAUAUGACCCAGCAAGUCUACUCUUAGGUAUUACCAAAGAGAAAUGAAAACACAAAAGUUUGUACAUGAAUGUUUAUAGCAGCAUUAUUCAUAAUAGCCAAAAGAUGGAAACAACCCAAAUGUUCAUCAACUGACAAAUAGAUAAAUUAUGGUGUAUCUAUGCAGUGGAAUAUUAUUCAGCCAUAAAAGGGAAUGAUGUACUGAUAUGUGCUGUAACAUGGAUGAACACUGAAAACAUGCUACAUGAAAGAAGUCAGUCACAAAAGACCACAUAUUACAUGAUUUCAUUCAUCUGAAAUGUCCAGAAGAGGAAAAUCUAUACAAGCAAAGUAGAUUAGUGGUUGCCCAGGACAGAAGGCUUAGGAGGUGAUGACUGAUAGGUAAGGGGUAUGUUUUGUUGUUGUUGUUGUUGUUUUUAGGUGAUGAAAAUGUUCUGAAAUUGCCUGUGGUGAUGGUUGCACAUGUCUGUGAAUAUGCUAACAACUAUUGAAUUCUACACUUUAAAUGUGCGAAUUAUAUAAUACGUGAACUACAUCUCAAGAAUGUUUUAAAACUGGUGUUGGGAAAACAGGACAUCCACAUGUAAAACAAUGUAUGUCAGAUCCUUACCAUACACCAUGUACAACAAUUAACUCAAAAUGGAUUAAAGACCUAAAUAUAAGAGCCAAAA
ensembl:lncRNA novel transcript